rnacentral:rRNA from 1 species
GACGAACGCUGGCGGCGUGCUUAACACAUGCAGGUCGAACGGAAAGGCCCUGCUUUUGUGGGGUUCUCGAGUGGCGAACGGGUGAGUAACACGUGAGUAACCUGCCCUUGACUUUGGGAUAACUUCAGGAAACUGGGGCUAAUACCGGAUAGGAGCUCCUGCUGCAUGGUGGGGGUUGGAAAGUUUCGGCGGUUGGGGAUGGACUCGCGGCUUAUCAGCUUGUUGGUGGGGUAGUGGCUUACCAAGGCUUUGACGGGUAGCCGGCCUGAGAGGGUGACCGGCCACAAUGGGCCUGCGAUAGGCCGCAGUAUCCUACGGGAGGCAGCAGUGGGGAAUAUUGCACAAUGGGCGGAAGCCUGAUGCAGCAACCCCGCGUGCGGGAUGACCGCCUUCGGGUUGUAAACCGCUUUCGCCUGUGACGAAGCGUGAGUGACGGUAAUGGGUAAAGAAGCACCGGCUAACUACGUG